rnacentral:lncRNA from 1 species
AAUAAAUCCUAAAACCUAGAGUUUACAUUAGCAGAACCUAAACAAAAAGAAAGGCUCGUCGCCGCUCUGGGGAUUCAUUGCCUCCAAAGACUCUCAAUCUUCGCCCCAACUCCGAUGGCUGUGGAGUGAGCAAAAAUCCGGCCCUCAGGUAUGCCCCUCUUCCCUUUUGUUUCCCCUUUUCUCCUUUAACAGAUGACUAAUGUAUGUAAAAACAAAAAGAAAGAAGGAAAACGAUCUGCGAAAAAGAAAAGAUAACCGAAAAUCACCUUUUGGAACUUUUUUUGAUUUCUGUAUUCCGAAAAAUGUGUGUCCCUCCAUUUACAGUGUUCGAAUGGCUUCUUUAAAGCCCAUUUAUAGAAAAUAAAAAAAAAUCAAAUAAAAAAAUGCUAUUGUUUUUCUAUUUGUUGCUGCUUCCGUGUGUUCGCAUGUAUUUGCAGGCAUCACGCGUGUGAGGAGUGGCUCGAAGGGGAGCCCGUGCGUGGCAGCGGCGGCUGAAGGGUUCCAGAAACCCUAGUGAUUUCUGGAAUACUUUUUCAAAAUGGGCUAAUUGGGCUGAAUCGGAUUUUGGGUUAGGUGUCGGGCCACUGUAACUGGGCCAAUCAGAUUUAGUGUUCGGUCAUGGGCAUUUGGGCUAAUUGGGUUUGGGUAGUGGAUUUGGGCUAAUUAGGCCUGCUGUAAAAAAUGGACUGUAUUAUUAUUUUUUAGACUUUAAUUUUUAAUUUUGGUUUACUUAUUACGGGCCCGGGCAAAAAUAGGCUAUUACAACCUUGAUUUUUAUGUUUUUGUUUUGAUUUCAUAAUAACAAGUCCCACUACA